GACGAACGCUGGCGGCGUGCUUAACACAUGCAAGUCGAACGGAAAGGCCCUGCUUUUGUGGGGUGCUCGAGUGGCGAACGGGUGAGUAACACGUGAGUAACCUGCUCUUGACUUUGGGAUAACUUCAGGAAACUGGGGUUAAUAUCGGAUAGGAGCCCCUGCUGCAUGGUGGGGGUUGGAAAGUUUCGGCGGUCGGGGAUGGACUCGCGGCUUAUCAGCUUGUUGGUGGGGUAGUGGCUUACCAAGUCUUUGACGGGUAGCCGGCCUGAGAGGGUGACCGGCGACAUUGGGACUAAGAUACGGCCCAGACUCCUACGGGAGGCAGCAGUGGGGAAUAUUGCACAGUGGGCGGAAGCCUGAUGCAGCGGCGCCGCGUGCGGGAUGACGGCCUUCGGGUUGUGAACCGCUUUCGCCUGUGACGAAGCGUGAGUGACGGUAAUGGGUAAAGAAGCACCGGCUAACUACGUG
rnacentral:rRNA from 1 species